AUUGAACGCUGGCGGUAGGCCUAACACAUGCGAGUCGAACGGCAGCAGAGUAAUUGCUUGUGGUUACGGGGGCCGAGGGGCGGGUGAUGCAUGGGAAUAUCCCUGGUAGUGUUGGCGAACGUGCGGACGCGGGGGAUCAUACCGCAUAAGUGCUGAGGGAGUAAGGGGGAAAGCAGCGGACCUUACGACCUUGGGUGAGCCAAGGAGGCGAUGUCGGAUUAGCUAGUUGGCGGGGUAAAGGCCCACCAAGGCGACGAUCCGUAGCUGGUCUGAGAGGAUGAUCAGCCACACUGGAACUGAGACACGGUCCAGACUCCUACGGGAGGCAGCAGUGGGGAAUAUUGGACAAUGGGCGCAAGCCUGAUCCAGCCAUACCGCGUGGGUGAAGAAGGCCUUCGGGUUGUAAAGCACUUUUAUUUGGAAAGAAAAGCAGCAAGUUAAUACCCUGCUGUUUUGACGGUACCCACAGAAUAAGCACCGGCUAACUUCGUG
rnacentral:rRNA from 1 species